rnacentral:rRNA from 1 species
CCGCGAUAAACCUGCAAGAACACCCCGCCUGCCGACCUCUACGAGAUUCACCUGAUUAGGGCGCCACGGGUGUAGCGGGUGGAUCAAAUGGUCGACUUCAUCGGUUCGGGCACUCCCCUAUUCCGUGGCGGCGGCGGAAGGUGGAGGCGGUACCGGUGCGGCGGCAGCAGGUGGAGGCGGUACCGGUGCGGCGGCAGCAGGUGGAGGCGGUACCGGCCGGAUCGCGGUGGCAGGUGAAGGGGGUACCAUUGGGAUCAAGGGGGGAAGUAGAGGUGGUACCUGCGGCGACGGAAGAAGGAGUUACAGGCGUUCUCCGGGUAGCUGGUUCUUGGUUUUAGUUCUAGGUUCACCUCUUGUCAGUUUCUUCUUCGACAUCGUUAGAGGUUUUUAGGGUUCACGACGCUAGAUGAUCAGGUGAUCAACUAUUCGGAUGUUUGGCAGCUCUGAAACUAACGGAUGUUUUGACCGAGUCUUGUCGGCUGGAUCUUUCUACGUUUCCACACAGUAAUCUCGGCCUCCCUCUUCUAGUUCUAAAAUCAGUCGACUCAACUUCUUCGUUCAUUCGGACUUCUUUACCUGUCUAACUGUAAAUAUGUAGUCCUUCUAUACUUGUUCGUUAGAACAACACUUGGUCUUUGUCCAUCUUCCACUAUUCCACCCGCAGCCUCACUUUUCCUCGAGUCCGACUUCCUAACUAGAUUAAUGACCAAUACAACUCGUUUGACUUAAAAUCAGAUUAAACAUGGACCUACGAACAUUGAACACAACAAGGUCUUUAUUUGACUUGAACAGAUAUUUUUACAGACUUACAGUUAAACGGCACAAAACAGACUC